AGUGAACGCUGGCGGUAGGCCUAACACAUGCAAGUCGAACGGCAGCACAGUAAGAUCUCGCUCUUACCGGUGGCGACUGGCGGACGGGUGAGACAUACAUAGCAUACUACUAUUUCUUGGAUGAUUACGUAAGGACGCUUACGCUACUACCGCAUAUGUCCUACGGCUUGAAUCAGGGGAUCUUCGGAGCUUUCCUGAUUGUAUGAGCCGAUGUCGGAUUAGCUAGUUGGCGGGGUAAAGGCCCACCAAGGCGACGAUCCGUAGCUGGUCUGAGAGGAUGAUCAGCCACACUGGAACUGAGACACGGUCCAGACUCCUACGGGAGGCAGCAGUAGGGAAUAUUGGGCAAUGGGCGCAAGCCUGAUCCAGCCAUGCCGCGUGAGUGAAGAAGGCCUUCGGGUUGUAAAGCCCUGUUGUUAGGAAAGAAAAGCUGCAGGUGAAUCCCCGGCUGUUCUGACGGUACCCAAUGAGUAAGCACCGGCUAACUUCGUG
rnacentral:rRNA from 1 species